rnacentral:rRNA from 1 species
CCUACGGGAGGCAGCAGUGAGGAAUAUUGGUCAAUGGGCGCGAGCCUGAACCAGCCAAGUCGCGUGAGGGAGGACGGCCCUACGGGUUGUAAACCUCUUUUGCCGGGGAGCAACGGGCGUCACGUGUGGCGCCACUGAGAGUACCCGGAGAAAAAGCAUCGGUUAACUCCGUGCCAGCAGCCGCGGUAAUACGGAGGAUGCGAGCGUUAUCCGGAUUUUUUGGGGUUAAGGGGUGCGUAGGCGGAUCGUUAAGUCAGGGGUAAAAUGGAGGGGCUCAACCCCUUCCCGCCAUUGAAACUGGCGCUUGUGAGUGGAAGAGAAGUAUGCGGAAUGCGUGGGGUAGCGGUGAAAUGCAUAGAUAUCACGCAGAACCCCGAUUGCGAAGGCAGCAUGCCGGCUUCCGACUGACGCUGAAGCACGAAAGCGUGGGGAUCGAACAGGAUUAGAUACCCUAGUAGUC